UACGUAGGGUGCAAGCGUUAUCCGGAUUCACUGGGCUUAAAGGGUGCGUAGGUGGGCCGGUAAGUCAGUGGUGAAAUCUCCGGGCUUAACCCGGAAACUGCCGUUGAUACUAUUUGUCUUGAAUAUUGUGGAGGUAAGCGGAAUAUGUCAUGUAGCGGUGAAAUGCUUAGAUAUGACAUAGAACACCAAUUGCGAAGGCAGCUUACUACACAAUGAUUGACACUGAGGCACGAAAGCGUGGGGAUCAAACAGG
rnacentral:rRNA from 1 species